AGGAUCAUUACAGCGAAGCGGCGCGAGCCGCCUUUCGAACCACCGCGUACCGAACCCCCCACGUUGCCUCGGCGGGCGCCGGGCGCCCCGCGCCCGCCCCGCCGAACGGCCCCCCAGCAAGACCCCUUCCGUCGAGAUGGCGUCGUCUGAACCCUCCGGGGAAAACGUUUCUGAAACGAAAAACACAACUUUCAACAAUGGAUCUCUUGGCUCCGGCAUCGAUGAAGAACGCAGCGAAACGCGAUAGCUAGUGUGAAUUGCAGAUUUCAGUGAAUCAUCGAGUCUUUGAACGCACAUUGCGCCUCUUGGUAUUCCUCGAGGCAUGCCUGUUCGAGCGUCGUUACGCCCCUCAAGCGCGAGCUUGGUGUUGGGGACCGCCCCUGAGACACGGCGGCGGCCCCGGAAUGCAUCGGCGGUGCUGGUCCCAGCCCGGAGCGCAGCAGACAUGCGGCUCCGCGGGCGGGGCCGGCGCCCGCCGGACAAACGACGAGACCCCUCCACAAGUCGACCUCGAAUCA
rnacentral:misc_RNA from 1 species